AUUGAACGCUGGCGGCAUGCCUUACACAUGCAAGUCGAACGGCAGCACGGGAGCAAUCCUGGUGGCGAGUGGCGAACGGGUGAGUAAUAUAUCGGAACGUGCCCAGUCGUGGGGGAUAACGUAGCGAAAGCUACGCUAAUACCGCAUACGAUCUAUGGAUGAAAGCGGGGGAUCGCAAGACCUCGCGCGAUUGGAGCGGCCGAUAUCAGAUUAGGUAGUUGGUGGGGUAAAAGCCUACCAAGCCUUCGAUCUGUAGCUGGUCUGAGAGGACGACCAGCCACACUGGAACUGAGACACGGUCCAGACUCCUACGGGAGGCAGCAGUGGGGAAUUUUGGACAAUGGGCGCAAGCCUGAUCCAGCAAUGCCGCGUGCAGGAUGAAGGCCUCGGUUGUAA
rnacentral:rRNA from 1 species